GAUGAAGAACGUAGUAAAAUGCGAUAAGUAGUGUGAAUUGCAGAAUUCAGUGAAUCAUCGAAUCUUUGAACGCACAUUGCGCCCCCUGGUAUUCCGGGGGGCAUGCCUGUUCGAGCGUCAUUACAACCCUCAAGCUCUGCUUGGUAUUGGGCCCCGCCAGUUCUGGCGGGCCCUAAAGUCAGUGGCGGUGCCUUCCGGCUCCGAGCGUAGUAAUUCUUCUCGCUCUGGAGACCCGGUUGUGUGCUUGCCAACAACCCCCAAUUUUUUAAGGUUGACCUCGGAUCAGGUAGGGAUACCCGCUGAACUUAAGCAUAUCAAUAAGCGGAGGA
rnacentral:misc_RNA from 1 species